rnacentral:rRNA from 1 species
UACGAAGGGGGCUAGCGUUGCUCGCAAUCACUGGGCGUAAAGGGUGCGUAGGCGGGUUUUUAAGUCAGGGGUGAAAUCCUGGAGCUCAACUCCAGAACUGCCUUUGAUACUGAAGAUCUUGAGUCCGGGAGAGGUGAGUGGAACUGCGAGUGUAGAGGUGAAAUUCGUAGAUAUUCGCAAGAACACCAGUGGCGAAGGCGGCUCACUGGCCCGGUACUGACGCUGAGGCACGAAAGCGUGGGGAGCAAACAGG